rnacentral:lncRNA from 1 species
UGUGACUCACUAAAGCCUCAGAUGAUUGUUCAACCUCUUUAGCAAGAAAACACUUUUUAAAAUUAAGGAUUUUACAUGCGCACAUAUGGUCCUCCUAGUUAAUUUGAAAACUGACUCUGGCUGCAGCCGGGACAACGUGGGAUCCUCAACCUGUUGCGCAACUGCGAGAAGACUGGGGAGUAAUUCUAACUCCCGUGACUUCGUCGUGCCUCGAAGUAGAAGUCUAGACAUCUGGAUUUGGACAUCUGGAUUCAUCCCUUGCUGUAUCCUCUAGGUUCUUUAAGGACACCGUCAAAGAUGGUGACCGACGCAGACCCUUGUAAAACGUCACAAGACUGGCAUACUUGUAGGUGAUAAGGACGGAGAAAUAAAACAUAGGAUCUCAGCCCGGCCUUACAGGUAGUUGCCAAAUUCAUGUGUUCGGGGCCAGCCACACCACCCUGUCCCCAGCAGCGUCCCCUUCUCUCUUUCUUGCUGCUCGCUUCUUCUCACUUCAUUUUUAUGUGAUGAGGGCAGGGACCGUGUGCACUUGCCUGUUGUCACGAAUGCCUCAGUCCAGCAUUUCUCACACUCGGAUGUGCACCUGCUGUUCAAGUGCAGAUUCUGAUGUAAGAGCCCAGGGCUGUGGGGUGGCUUGAGAACCCGUACUUCUAACAGGCUCUCAGGUGACCCAGAGCUGAAUCGCCCACCCGUUGGGUACUCACUGGGCUAGAGGCUAGAGCAGUUGUACGUAGUCGUAUGUUUGAUUCCCCAGGCGGGGGCGGGGGAUAAAAUCCUAAUGCCAGAUUGUUCCCCGGGCCAGUAACACCCGAAUUCUUGAGGAUGGACGAGGCAGCGGCUGCUGGUUAGCAGGAGCAGUCAGCUCUCCCGGAAGAGCAGCCCGAUUUAGCAUUUAUGCCUCCUUUUCUUUCCAGCACAGGAUGCUAGUGAACUUGGUGUUGGGAAGAAGUGCUAACUAAUGUUGGGCUCGUCAGCCAGCGCCCCCCUGGACCCGGGCCUUUGCAUUUUCAUCCCCUCCCAGCGGAUGAGCUGUCACUGUGAUUCCCUUUCGAGGCUGACGUGGAGAACCUCUGUUUGAAAGUUUCUGCCUGUUAGUUAGGGAUACAAGUGCUUCUGCUCCUUCUCUCGGCCUUGCAGCCCUGGGCUUUUGUUUCUGCCCGCUCCCCACCUACCUUGGAAGCCCAUUUUCAUUUUCGGACCAUCUUAGGUGCUGCCCAAAGUCACAACAUCUGGAGCGCAGCCUGGAGCUGAGACGCGGGGGCUCUGCCGUGAGCCUGCUCGGCCCGGCCCCGAGGCUGGGCGCUCUCAUCCGGACCUGCUUUGGUGCAGGAGAGCAGGAUGGCAGCGGCCGGGAGGUUUCGCAUCCAGACUGAGCCAGGGUGAAGGCCUCCGAGCAGCGGCAGUUUCUCCUUCCAGGGGGACCUUCAGCCCCUCCGUCCGCUUUCGGCAGGUGGUGUGUGCAUGGGGAGCACACGUCCCGAGGGCUUGGCUCCGGCUCUGCCAUUGACCGUCCCGUGACCCUGGGCUCUAACUUCUUGCUGAGCCUCCGUUUUCUCUCGGGCAAAAUGCAGGUGCUAAUCAUCCCCACUUCAUGGAUUGCUGGGAUCACAUCUCUGUUGUGGAAAACUUUAGGGUAAACUAAAGUGAGCUAGAGGCAGAACAUCGGGUCUGGGCCGUGUGUCUGCCGAUUGGCUAGUUUAACCUUGAGAAAAACCUCUGCCACUGCCUGCCCGUCUGUUUCCGGUCUCCAAGCCCAGAUCUUUCUCUUCGCAGGCCCCAGACACGCCCCUGGUACAUGGAGAUAUCUCAUACUGGCAAUAAUAUAACAUUUCUUUUAUUUGAUGAUGUUAUUGAAUAAUUUUUUAUUUUUAAUCUAAGCAAACACUUAAGUUUAAAAAAACUAGUAACUAUGAAUCUUAACAUAGAAAUGUUAGCCCCUGCCUGUCUUCCACCCAGUGCCGAUCCACCACUUCCACUGCUUUUAACUGGUUUAUCUGGAAAUAGCUCUACAUGUCUAAACAGCAUCCUUACUCUACAAGUCUUGAUGAUUUUUAAGUUUUAAUUGUUACCUGUUGACUUCCUAGCAUGGGAAGAAAGGAUUUAACCCUCCCCUCCCGUCAGUCACGGACACAGACACACCCCUCCGCACCCCCCACCCUCCUCUUCCAUCCGUUCUGUAUGCGGAUCGUACGUUUUGGUGGGAUAUUCGGAUGUCACACUGGGUUCACAGUUAAGUCAGAUAACAUGUGUGAUGACACGCAGCUGCACGUCUUUGCGUACACAAAUUGUUUCCCUGAAGGUAAUAAUUGCAUUGCUUUCCUGUUUGCUGAGUGUUCUCCUGGUAUCACUCGUUCGGCCCAGAAUCUUUAUAAAAGUGUCGCAUGUCCUUUCACUGCACCCACACACGUGUGCCAUCUCUCAGCCCCUGGAGCCCAUGUCUCUGGGGGUCCCGCCUCCUUGGUUCCACGCUGGCUGGCCGCUCUCGAGACCCACUGCGUCACCGCAUCCCCGGGCUCCCGGGCCUGGGCUCCGUUCCCGUCCUCCUGGGGAACGCAGCCCCCCCCCUCGCUCUGCUGUGGCUUCUCUGCCUCCUGGACCCCGUGGCUUCUUCCUGCUUGUUUUCCUCCUUCGCUUUGUAGAAGCACGUUGUCCAGUAAUGUCUCCAAAAGAGGAAGGAUGGCUUUUGUUUCUGGAGGGUGCACACCUGAAACGGUCUUUAUUCCACGCUUCCAUGUGGUUGAUUAUUUGAUUGGACACAGAAUUACCAAUACAGCUCAGAAACAUUUUUUCUCCCGAUUUUAAACCAUUAUGCCAUUGCUGUUAUUGUCAGGUGUGCUUCGGAUUUUCAGUACUUUCUAGGCGAACUGUUUUUUGUUUUAUUUUUUUUUUAUCACUGUUAACUUUAAACGUGUUCUCUCUAACUCUAGUGUCUUGAAACUUCACAGACAGAUAUUUUGAUGUAGGUCUUUUUCCUUUACUGUUCUACAUUGCCAGGGGACCCUUUCAAACUGGAAACUUAUCUUUCUCUUUUUACAUAGUUAAAAUAAUUCUGUUCAAAUAAUAUUUUCUAAUAUACUCUGAAAUCAUGAGUGUAUUUUUUUUUUUUUGUCUUUUUAGGGCCACACCCACGGCAUAUGGAGGUUCCCAGGCUAGAUCUAAUCAGAGCUGCAGCUGCCUGCUGAUGCCACAGCCACAGCAAGGACAGAUCCAACCCGUGUCUGCGACCUGCACCACAGCUCAUGGCAACAUGGGAUCCUUAACCCACUGAGCAAGGCCAGGGAUUGGGCCCGAAACAUCAUGGUUCCUAGUCGGAUUCGUUUCCGCUGUGCCAGGACGGGAACUCCUGAAAUCAUGAGUCUAGAAGUCAAUUUCAGAUUUGUAUUAUUUCUUUUUUAAUUUAAAUAUAGUUGAUUUACAGUGUUAUGUUAGUUUCAGAUGUAUAAUAUAGUCAUUCAAUUUUUAUAGCUUAUACACCAUUUAAAGUUAUUAUAAAAUAGUGGCUACAUUCCCUGUACAGUACCUUACACGCAUGUGUAUUCUUAGUCGUAUUUUAAAUUUCUUAUUAAAAUUACUCCUUAACAUUUUAGAAGCUGGAGUUAGAAUAGGAAAUGUAUUACUCAGUACACAGUGAGACACUGAAUUUUCUGUGGCAAACUUCUCUAACCUGUUAUAAAACAAGGUCCUUGAUAGGGUGAAGGAUAAAGAAACUAGAAUCCCCGGCGUAGGUCACGUGAUGAAGAAGGGUCAUCCUGUUUUCUCACACAGACAAGUAGAUGGGAAAUCUCUUUACAAAUAAACAGAGCAGGGAAUGAGCAGAUUAAAUGUUUCUCAGGUGAGACAGAGCGUCCAGUAACAGAGUGUCACGGGGUGGCUUUCUCAGUUCCUUGGUACAAUAUACCCUUUUAGUGAUGAAUAGGCAUCGUGCAUUCCAACAUAGCCAAAUGACUAGCGUUGCAUUGGAAUUGGAAUAAAUGUAAUUUUAAGAAUUCAAGACACCAGAGUUAUAGAGAAUAGGUUUAAAGUCUACAGUGAUUAAGAAAACAAAAUAAACAUAAAACAGUUCACAUAAGAAUUAUUGAAAAUCAGAGUAACAAAUGUAAUUUGGAUAUUACUAUACAAAUUAUUUAUUAGUGUCAGGUUUAUGAUUUCUGUCUAGACCUAUAAAAGAACAGUUCUCAUGCAAUGGGAAAGACAAGUUAAAGAUGCGUAUAUUAGCAUCCACUUCAGCUAAUUAUGCUCAUGAAGUCAGUUGUUCCAUGAAAGGCAACCUCGUUUAUUGGACAUUUUUAGGAAAUGAUCAAUUCCUCAGAGACGUUGAUGUACACAACUUUAUUUUCAUUCUACCUGUUUUUGAUUAAAAUAUUCCUCAAAGAAUAUAUUUAUUUGGCUAACUUAGAACAGGCCCAGGCGUUUAGAGGAUUCUGCUGAGUGUUUGUUUAUUCCGUCAUUUACUUAGUCAACAAGUAUUGUGUUAUUACUCUUUCCCAGUAAGUCAGGGCCGUCAUUCCUCAUUCCUCAUUGUGUUAAACCUCAGGCGGUUUUGCCCUCGGGCACCUUGAAGCUGUGCCGUGCACUUGGCCUCAAAUACAAGGCUUUGAGAAAAUUAUGCUUUUUGAGCAAAAGCUCCUGUGACUCAGUGAGGAAAAGCAAAACAACUCAAUGGGAAAAAUACAUGAAUAGGCAUUUCACAGAAAAGGAAUAACAAAUGCUCAUAAACAUAUGGAAAGAUUCUCCGUUUCUUGAUGAUCAGAGACACAAGUGAAAACCACACUGAGUUUCCACUGUACACGCUGCUGUGGCCAAGCGUUAUGAGGAAGUGGAGCCGUGGGACUCUUCUCCACCGAUAGCAGAGGCAUCAGCUGUGUCCUUCCGUGGAAGACAAUUCGGGUAUGAGCCAAUAAGCUGAGUAACGCACAUCCCUGCUACCCGGUGAGCCCAUCCCUCGGCGUGAACUCCAAGAAAGACCUUACAGCGGCAGAGGAGGUGGAUGUAAGAAUGUUCUGACAGUACAGCCUGUCAAGAAAAACUGCAGCCACCUAAAUACGUGCUGCAGUGAAGAGAGAUGGACUGGGUACACUCCUACCUGGAAUGCCAUCCAGCAGUGAGGAGGAGUGCGUUAUCACUGCUUGCAUCGAUGUGACUGGACGUCAUAAACAAUAUUGAGGAAAAAAGGGACGUCUCAGAAGGGGACCUGCAAGUUCCACUCAGUCUAUAUAAGGGUAGAAAUCUGGCUUAACUGCAUGUAUUUUGUAGGGACAUAGAAAACUUGAUCCAACUGUAAAGGAAAACACCACACAAAAAUGGAGAUCAACACGUUACUCAGAGAGUGUUUACGGAGGAGGGCAGGUAAGGGCUGUGAUGACAGGAGGAGGCGGAGAGGGACCCAAGGCAUGGGGUCAUGUUCUGCCCCUUCAGCAUCGUCUCAUCCAACCAGCGCUUCCUAAAGGCCUGCGAAGCGCCAAGCACUGCCGUAGCACGUAGGGUACAAACUCUUCAAGAGAACAUAUUCCGCAGGAAGCGAAAAAAUGGAUGGAGUAAAUCAUUAACUUAUUUUAGUUUCAAAAGGUGAUAAGUUCUAUGGAAAAAAUGGGAGUUAAGACAGCUUGGUGUGUGUGGAUGGUUUGCAGAAUUAAAUGAGAUGAUGAGGGUACCUUCUUUGAGAAGGAGCUAUUUGAAUCUAGAUUUGAAAGAGAUACGGAGUAAGCCACACGGCUACCUGGGUGAGUGAAAUUUAGGCAGAGGGACCAGCCAGUGCAAUGGUCUCAUUAUGGUGAUGUGUUUGCCAUGUUUGGGGAGACAUGGGGAGGGCACCGCAGCUGACAAUGAGCAGCAUGGUCAGAGAGGUGGAUGCACCAGCAGGGCUGGACAGGGCAUGACAUGCUAGGUCGGGUAUUGGCAGCGUCCCUCUGCAAAGAGGCAGAUGAUAAAUAUUUUAGGCUUUACGGGC